GGCCAGUACUUGUUUUAACUGUAAUGAUCAGAACCAGACAACAAGCCACUUCUGACAAAAAGACAGUUAUUGUAUGGCACAGCCCAGGGAAUGUAACACUGUGUACGCUGAGGGCUACUGGGGACAAGGGACCAUGGUGACGGUGACUGCAGUGACACCGUCUUCGCCCACUCUCUACAGCCUGGUCUCCUCCUGUCAGCAACAGAACACCGACGGCUCCGUCACCUACGGCUGUUUGGCGAUGGACUAUUCCCCAGAAAUCACCAGCUUGACUUGGAAGAAAGAUGGGCAGCCGAUCACCACUGGAUUUAAGACUUACCCGUCAGCGAGGAACCAGAAGGGAACCUACACCCUCAGCAGCCAGUUAACCAUCACCGAGUUAGAGGGGGAAUGCAGCAAAAUCAAGUGCGAGGUUCGACACAGCGGCUCAGACAAGAGCGUUGAAAUGCAAUGUACUGGACCUGUCAUCCCUCCAACUGUUCUCCUCACCGUGAGUUCCCGAGAAGAAAUCACAACCAACAAAUUUGCAACCGCCGUCUGUUCAAUCAUCAAUUUCCGACCAAAUUCAAUGACCGUGAAGUGGCUAAAGAAUGGACAACCCAUGGAUUCAGGAAUUGUCACCUCUCCCGCCUUUGAAGUGAACGGGAACUUCUCGGCGACCAGUCGGCUGAAAGUCUCCGCUGGGGAAUGGUUCACCGACGCGGUCUAUACCUGUCAGGUCGCUCACCAAGGGGUCACUCAAAGUCGAAACGCCACCAAGUGUGAGGCACAUUCCCAAUGCAGCGAUCCCACAAUUACUCCACUGCCACCGCCAGUAGAACAGGUUUUACUGGAGGCGACGGUGACAUUAACCUGCAUCGUUUCUAAUGCCCCUUAUGGAAUCCUCGUGUCCUGGACCCAAGAAAAGAAGCCUUUGAAAUCAGAGAUUGCUGUCCAACCGGGAGAGGAUCACAACAGCGUGGUCAGCAACGUAAACAUCUCGACACAAGCCUGGCUGAGUGGGGCUGAGUUCCACUGCGUGGUGAGCCAUCAGGAUCUGCCGACUCCUUUAAGAAGUUCCAUCCACAAGGAACCAGUUAAAGACCCGCGGGAACCAUCCGUGUCUGUCCUCCUGCCCUCGGCAGAAGAUGUCUUCACUCAGAGAUUCGUCUCCCUCAGCUGCUUAGUGAGAGGUUUCUCCCCGCGAGAGAUCUUCGUCAAGUGGACCGUCAAUGACAAGCCGGUGAACCCCGGGAACUACAAGAACACCGAGGUGUUGGCUGAGAACGACAAUCGCUCCUUCUUCAUGUACAGCCUGUUAUCCAUUGCAGCAGAGGAGUGGGCCAGCGGCGCUUCUUACUCCUGUGUGGUGGGACAUGAAGCAAUCCCCUUGAAGAUCAUCAACAGAACGGUUGAUAAAUCCAGCGAUUCCACAGACCGCAUCUGGAUUGAAGACUCUGAGGAUGAUAACGGCAAUAUCUGGACAACCGCUUCCACAUUCAUCAUCCUGUUCUUCCUGAGCAUGUGCUACAGCACUGCCGUCACUCUGGUGAAGGUGAGAAGAUUCAAUCCUCUCACACCUCAAACUGACAGAAGCAGUUUGCAAAAUCUCUCAAUGCUUCAUUGAUUAAAACUUUAACAUAAAUGUCCCAGAUCUUAAACAUCUGCUUCAUUAGGUCAUCCUCUUUUACACACCAAGUGAUCGGUUGAAACUUGGACACCGUAGAUUUUCCUUCGCUCUUUAUUGAGAUCUCUGUAUUCCGAAUUUAAAAUAUAUCCUUUUGGUGGCUCUAAAAAUAAAACACCUACUGUUUAUGUUUCCGAAUUUGUAACUGAGACAAUCAUGGACGGUAUUUCUGGUUUCCUGUUUGAAAUGUUUGAGAUAACUAUGGCUGUGUUGUAAUUGUAGCUUAUAAUUCCCUAGAAGUUUGAAUUCCCUGUGUAAAUAAGUAACUUUUUUCAUUCCUCAUUCAUAAUUAUUCCCUUCCCUUUAUGUUGAGCUCCUGUUUUCUCUUUCUGGUAACAAAAACAGAAUUACCUGGAAAAACUCAGCAGGUCUGGCAGCAUCCGCGGAGAAGAAAAGAGUUGACGUUUCGAGUCCUCAUGACCCUUCUGGUGUCUGUUACUGUUGUACCUACAGUUGGCAGCUCAGAUGGAAUGUUUUCAGUU